rnacentral:tRNA from 1 species
AUGUCAUUAGUCCAGGUUGGGCGUUAGCUUUGAAGGGGCUAAAGGUUUCAGGCAUU